rnacentral:rRNA from 1 species
CCCCUAGAUGUUCUGGGCCGCACGCGCGCUACACUGAACAGUUCAACAAGUCUUAACCUUGGCCGAUAGGUCUGGGUAAUCUUUGAACGCUGUUCGUGAUUGGGAUAGACCUUUGCAAUUAUGGGUCUUCAACGAGGAAUCCCUAGUAAACGCAAGUCAUCAGCUUGCAUUGAUUACGUCCCUGCCCUUUGUACACACCGCCCGUCGCACCUACCGAUUGAAUGGUCCGGUGAAAUCUCGGGACGGCGGCUUGGUCGCUUGCGUCCGACUGCUGAAACUUGAUUAAACCAUAUCAUUUAGAGGAAGGUGAAGUCGUAACA